rnacentral:rRNA from 1 species
CCUACGGGUGGCAGCAGUGAGGAAUAUUGGUCAAUGGGCGCGAGCCUGAACCAGCCAAGUAGCGUGAAGGAUGACUGCCCUACGGUUUGUAAACUUCUUUUAUAAAGGAAUAAUUUGAGGCACGUGUGCCUUUAUGUAUGUACUUUAUGAAUAAGGAUCGGCUAACUCCGUUCCAGCAGCCGCGGUAAUACGGAGGAUCCGAGCGUUAUCCGGAUUUAUUUGGUUUAAAGGGAGCGUAGAUGGGUUGUUAAGUAAGUUGUGAAAGUUUGAGGCGCAACCGUGAAAUUGCAAUUGAUACUGGCAGUCAUGAGUACAGUUGAGGUAGGCGGAAUGCGAGGUGUAGCGGUGAAAUGCUUAGAUAUCACGAAGAACUCCGAUUGCGAAGGCAGCUUCCUAAACUGCCACUGACAUUGAUGCUCGAAAGUGUGGGUAUCAAACAGGAUUAGAUACCCUUGUAGUC